CUAUCUUGUCAGCGUGAAUCACUCUUGGGAAUUUGUUGAGCCAAUCUUGGCACAUCAACAAUGGGUGACGUAACAAUCCCGCGGAUUAUGACAGAAAAGCCGAGAUGUCGUAAACCUCCAUUUUACGGUCAAACUGUCGACAAACCAAGAAGAGCAGAGUAAAGUUCAGGCUGUGUUAAUGUGGGUGGCACUUGAUGGAUCAAUAAGUGACCCCACUAAAGUUGCUUUGAAAGAUUGCUCCCACCAUCCUCCAGCUACUUUGUCUGACAGCUCAAAUGAAGUAUUAGCUGAUGUGUUCUGUGGCAGAACUGAAGUAAGACUUGUCGCGGAAGAUGCUGUGCAAGACUUCUCUGGUCAAAUCCCCGCAACUCCAACCUUGUUUGAUCUUAUAAAACAGUUGCAGCAACAAGUUACCACUAGCUUGGCUCUCGUUUUCCCUCUCGAUGUUCAAAGGGAACACUGCUUGAUGGAUGCAUUAGAUUCAGUGAAUUAAAGAGGGUUUGAUCCACAAAAGACACCUGCGGUUGAAUUUCUUGGAGAAGAGGGAGUGGACAGUGGCAGUCUGAGAAGAGAGUUGUGGCGUUUAGUUGCCAGGAAUGCUCAAGGCUCUCUGGUAUGUGGUAACCAUGACAGAUGCAUACCCAUUCAUAGUGUGAAACAUCUAUCACAAGAAAACUUUAAGAAAUUUGGAGUUUUAAUGGCGAUGGCAAUUGUUCAAGAUGGCAUGGGCUGUCCUGUCUUUGCACCUUGUAUUUAUAGCUACUUAUGUGGCAAACACUAACUGAAAUCAAACCAGACAUUAUGGACAUCCCUGAUCCAGACGUCUGUUCAAUUGCUAAGCAGAUUGCAGAUGCCAAUGGCCCUGAAUUCGACAAUCUACUGGCAGACAAUGAAGUGCUGCAAAGCUCAUGGAUGCAGGCUACACGAAGCCUCUUCUUCGUAUCUAUAAGCAGGAUAUGCUGUCUGCAUUAGCAGUUCAUUUUUGCUUACUCAGUGUAAAAGCUGAGUUAGAUCAAUUGCGUGAAGGACUGGAAACUCUUCGUGUACUGUCAGCAAUGAUGAAGCACCCUCAUGUGUUUCAAUGUCUUUUUGUUGCAGAACGCAACCCUCUGACUGCAGUUGUGCUCAAGAGUUUGUUAAAAGAGAAGCAUUUUUCUGAAAAGGGGUCAAAUUUUAGGAGAGCAGAAAAAGCAAAUUACAUCUAUUUUUGUCGCUAUCUUGAAGAUUUGGAAGGUGGUGUUGUGAGAAUCUUACUAUGGCAGACUUUCUAGUGUUUUUCACAUCAUGUGAAAACAUUCCUGUCAUGGGCUUUGAACCUACGCCCAGCUUACACUUUAACUGCAUGGACAUCUAUCCCACAGCAUCAACUUGUGGACAUGAAUUGGUCUCACCAACUAAAUACAAUGGAGAUGAAGCUAAAUUCAAACAGGCCAUGACUGCUGGUUUGUUGUUUUAUGGAGGCUAUGGAAAGAAGUGACUCCUAUGAUUGAUACAGAUCUAGCACAGCUGUCAUUUUCUUUUAGGGGUCGUCCAUAUUUAUCGGCAUUAUCACGAGCGUACAAAACGUACGCUUUUUCUCUGCCCCCUCUGCCCCCUCUGCCCUCCCUGAAAGCGUACGCGAAAAAUGCUGAUUUAAUAUUAAUAAUAAUACAUGCUUCAAUAGGCCCAUACUUCAUACACAGAAAGUUUUUCGUAUUUGUUAUUAACAAUAAUGCACAGAUAUCUAAUUUGUACGACGUAAUUUUUCUCUUCGUCGUCAUCUCUAUCUUCCGAAAAGCUUCUUUCAAAAUGUAAUCCUUCUCAUCACUCCCAACCUUCCAAACCUCCUGCGCCUUCCUCACAGCAUCUUGCCUGCCGUAACUGUUAUUGAUAUAUACAAAAGCGUUGACAAAAUGCUGAUAGGCAUUCACAGGGUGCGUAUGUACAGAGUCCGCACAGUUUGACAACUCUAACAGCUUCUCUACGUUAUCCAUCAAGACACGAGGCGAGAAGAGAAACCCGGAUAUUGCCCAUUAACCCGGAUGCAGCGAACUGCUACGUAGCGUAAUGGUUGGUUUGACCACGCGAACCUGUGUGCAAUACCAUUGAACUACCUCAGUGAGAACGUCCUACGCAUGCGUUAGAACGGCAUUUUUCCAAAGCGUACGCCUGGUUUUACCCCCUCCCCCCCAGCGUACGUUUUGUACGCUCGUGAAAAUGCCGAUAAAUAUGGACGACCCCUUAGCAUGCAUGCAGAUCCACAAGUAUCAGAAACAGGUGCAGGGGUGAACAAUUAAAUAUCAAUUAAAGUGUAGUAAUUAGGUACUAAAGGCGUUGAAGUGUCAAGUGUAGUAAUUAGUUGAAGUAUUGGCUAGUUAUAAUUAUUGGGGCUAUAGACUUUGUAGGAUAACAUAAUAGGGUUGGUGGAGUUUGCGAGCACUGUAUAUUUCUAUUCUUGCCACUGUGCAUGCUUAAUUAAUUAAUAUAUAAUUUUAGCUAUACCAUAGAUAGAUGGCUCUGCACUUGGCACUAGCCUCUCAAGCCAAGCGCCUUCGUUCUCACUGUGCGACGUCACGUGUUGCUCGCAUGUGAGAGGAGGUCCUUGACGGGAACUCGUGAAGUCACACAUUGAGCAAAUCUUGUCUUGCGAGACUAGUUGUACACGGUAGAUCAUGACCGUCUCAAGAGAGGAAACAGCCGAGGAGCUUCGUUGCCUUAUCAGAGGACUGCUGAAUAACGCCCAACGGCAAAUCAUGUCCUUUCAGCUAGAUUCUAGCACGCUUGCUGAUGUCAGCCUUUUCUGUGACAGUCUGCACACACACACACACACACACACACACACACACAUAUUUAUGAAUCGAUUGGCCGCACUAGAGAUAAAUUCUGACAUACGAAAUUCUCUUGUGUAUGUUCGUGAAGCCGCAAGAUAUUUGGAGCAAGCGAGAGCUUCAUCGAGUUCCGGAGUCGAUGAUUCCUUUCAGGCAACCACCCUACAAUCAACUAGUGGUAGACCAAGAAUUUUGUGUGACCUCUGAGCAGCUACAAUACUUUCUAGGCCACGGGUUUACUGUUCCAAUCAUCGCCAAAAUGUUAGGGGUUUCCGUAAGAACAGUUAGAAGGAGAAUGACAGACUUUGAUCUUAGUUCACGUGCAAGAUUUUCAGACAUUUGAAAUAGUGAUCUUGAUGCAGUUGUGAAAGAGCUAAAGGAACAGUAUCCUCAUUGCGGAUACUGAAUUUUGGACGGACUUCUCAAGGCCAAGGGGAUUCUUGUCCAACAAAUUCGAGUUAGGGAAGCUGUACUCAGGUUUGAUCCUGAAGGUGUUGCAGCUCGUUGGCUAUGUCUUUCUCAUCCAAGAUGCUCUUACUCCGUCUCUGGCCCCUUGGCGUUGUGACAUAUUGAUGGAAAUCAUACAUUGAUAAGGUGGAGACUUGUUAUUCAUGGAGGUAUUGACGGUUAUUCCAGAGUUCCUGUAUUUCUAUAUUGUUCAGAUAACAAUAGAGCAGACACCGUUUUGAAUUUGUUCAUUGGAGCUGUUAAUCAGUAUGGUCUGCCAUCAAGAGUUCGAUCUGAUCAUGGUGGUGAGAACAUUGCAGUUGCUCGAUACAUGUUGAGUCAUCCUUCUCGUGGUUUGAAUCGAGGCAGCGUGCUAGUCGGAAAAGUGUCCACAACCAGAGAAUUGAAAGGUUGUGGCGAGAUCUCUUUCUGGGAGUCACAGGAUUGUACUACGACAUAUUUUCACACUUGGAAAAUUGUAGGGUUCUUGAUCCUGGUAAUGACACUCACAUUUUUUGCCUCCACUUUGUAUAUCUGCCAAGAAUAAACAAGCACAUUGAAACAUGGCGGCAAGCAUGGGUUCAGCAUGUACUCAGUGGUGCUAAACGUACACCAAAUCAGCUAUGGAUUGAAGGCCUCACCAGUAUGGCAAAUUCCAGUCAUAGAGUGGCAGUGGAAACAUUUCAGGAAGAUGUUGUCACUGAUGAUAAUGGGAUUGACUGGAAUGGCCCAGUACCACACCAAGACGACCAUAAUAUCAACAUGCCUGAAACGUUAUGUCCACUUUUGCCAGACCAAAAAAUUAGGCUUAUUGAGACCAUUGACCCACUAAGUGAGAGUGACUGUUUUGGAAUAGACAUUUAUUUGCUAACAAUAAACUUUGUUACAACUUGCCUAAGUACGUAGUUAAUUAAAGUUAGUCGAGGCAAUACUUGUUAUCUAUAGAUUGUUGUGUGUACAGUGCACAAGCUAUAAUUUCACGAGCUACAAACUAUAUACAAUGAUACUAGACCAUGCAGUGAUUUUGUGGACUAGGCAUAUAUGUACAUACUGGUGUGCAUGUUUCACAGGCUGCUACACUUGCAAAAAUUCAAAUAUUUGUACUCAACCUGUAAUUUUAGCAUAAUCAAGCUAGAGUUACACUGAUG